rnacentral:rRNA from 1 species
AUUAAUUUAGGAGGGCAAAUCCGCUGAAUAAAACUGCUAAAAUAUAAUUAAGCGGAAGAAAAGAAAAUAACUAUGAUUCCUUUAGUAACAGCGCGUGAAAAAGGAUAAGCUCAAUUUAGAGAAUCCUUCGAUUUUUUUUUAAAGGAAUUGUUGGAAUUGUUUCUUUUUUUUAUAUAAUAUACUCUAUAUGAUAACUGUUCUUUGGAUUAUAUAUUACGUAAUGUGUAUAUACAUCUAUUUUACAGGUACACAAGAGCAAGGAUAUUAAAAAAUAUAUAGGAAAUAUAAUGGAAAAUUGUCCCAAAGAGGGUGAAAGGCCCGUACUUGUUUUUAUAUCUACCUUGUGCUUAAAUUAGAGUUAAAAAUAAAGAAUGAGUUGUGUUUUAUGAAUAUGGGACACUAAUACGUGUGAUGGAUUUCACAUAAAGCUAAAUAUGUGUAGGAGACCGAUAGCAAACAAGUACCGUAAGGGAAAGAUGAAAUAGUACUCAGGAAUGAGAAAUUAAAUAGUACCUGAAAUCGUUAAGGUGGAAAGGAUUAAGAGCGUGAAAACGUAAGGAAAUUAUUAAAAGUAUAUAUAUAUGUACACGUGCGCAUAUAUAUAUAUAUAUAUAUAUAUAUAUAUAUAUGUGCAUGUUUUAUAUGUAUAAGAGAAAGCUUCAACUCCUUUCUCUUUGGUAUUUUCCUUAUUAUAAUAAACAAAAGUGAAUGAAAGAAAUUUUGAAGAUUAAAGUAAUUUUUUAAAAAGAUUAAAGAAUUAAUUAUAUAUAUAGUAAUAAAUUUUUAUUUAUUUUUAUUUAUUUUUAUAUAAUUUCUUAUUUUUUUUUUUUAAAAAAUAUGAAUGAAUGAAUGGAAAACACUUUUUUCUGAUUAAAAACAUUUCUAUUUACUUAGGAAUAAAAAAUAUAUGUGUAAAGGUGUAGAAAGUAUUUAUAUUUUUUGUUUUUACAUAUUGUAUAAGUUGUUUAUAAAAAAUACUCUCUUAAACCGACCGUCUUGAAACACGGACCAAGGAGUCUAUCAAAUAUGCGAGUGUAUAUGUUUAGAGGAAACAUGUGAAUAUUUUGUGUACGCGCUUGGAUGUUCAAAAUGUGUGAUAUGUGUAAUAAGCGUGCACACGCAUAUAUAUGUAUGUAUAUAUAUAUGUAUGUAUGUAUGUAUGUAUGUAUGUAUGUAUGUAUGUAUGUAUAUAUGUAUGUAUAUAUGUAUGUAUAUAUGUAUGUAUGCAUGUGUGCGCUUUUUAUAUAUUUUCAUUUUGUUUUGAUUUGUAGAUUUUGAUAUGAAGUGAAAAGAAUAAAAAUGGGAAAAGAAAUGAAAAUAGAAAAAUUAAUUUUUUUUUGUUUUUGUUUUUUUUUUUCUUUUACUUUUUGUAUAUUUUUUAUUUUGCUCAUGUUUCAUUUCAAUGCAUACAGAUUACUUAUUAAAAGAAGAAAAAUUAAAAUAGAAAUUUAAAUGUUAAGAAAUAUCAAUUUUUUUUUGUGUUUCUUUUCUAAAUUUUUUUUUUUUUUUUUCUAUUAUUUUUUUUAACUAAGUAAAGAGUAUAUUUGAUAGGACCCGAAGGGCUUUGUACUAUACAUGUAAUAAAAUUAUUGAGAACAUGAGAGUCUUUUUAUAUGGAUAAAAAAGAGUUAUUAUUAAAUAUAUAUUUAUCAUUAGUUUUUAGUGAAUAAAGAAUAUUUAAGAAUCCUUUUUUUUUUUCUAAUAUUACACUGUAGGAAAUAUAAAGAAUGAAAAGCCUUAUAUUAGCUGGUUAUUUUCGAAAGAUCUCUCGAGAUCACUGGAGUUGAUUUUGAUAUAUUUUUAUCGUACAAGAUAAAUUAAAAUAUAUAUAUAUAUAUAUAUAUAUAUAUAUACACAAUGUUGAUAUAAAAGAUCUAAUUGUGAAUUUGUUAAAUUUAUAUUUUAAUUUUUCUUGAUACUUUGGUAAAAAGUGUGAAUAAAAUAAAUAUAUAUAAGUUGUAUAUAUAUUAUUUUAUUUAUAUAAAAAUAAGAUAACUCCAAGUGUACCAUUUUUUAUUAAAAAAGAAAUUGGUAAUGAGGGAUGCUCCUAAUGCUUGGAUAAGGUGCCUAAAUAUUCGCUUAUGAGAUUCUGUUUUAAUAUAAAAAAGGUGUUGGUUCAUGAUAACAGUAGGACGAUAUUCAUGGAAGUUGAAAUUCGCUAAGGAGUGUGUAAUAACUCACCUUCCGAGUGAACUUGCCCUUAUAAUGGAUGGCGCUAAAGUGAAUUACCGAAACCAAGCCAUAAAAAGAUAAAGAAAAAAAAAAAGAAAAAAAAAUUAAAAAAAAAAAAAUUAAAAAAUUAAAAAAUUACAAUCAACUGGGGAAAAGAUGUAUAAAGAAGGAAAAAUAUAUAUAUUUUUUCAUUUUUCUUUUCUUUUUUUUCCUUUUUGAUUGUUUUUUUUUUUGUUUUUUUUUUUUUUUAAUUUUGUUUUUUUUUUUUUUUAAUUUUCUUGUUUUUGAACUUUUUAUGUGUAGAAAAUCGUGGGGUUUUUUGUAUCGAAGCGAAAUACGUGAGUUUUCGUGGAACAUCUCCCUAGUGCAGAUCUUGGUGGAAGUAGCAAAUAUUUCAAAUGUAAGAACUUUGAAGACUAAAGUGGAUAUGGGUUUCUUGUAUAUACAUUUAUUAAUUUAAAUUUUGAAGAGUUAGUCGCUUGCUUAUGAGUUUGCUACUUUUUUGUUUUUAUUUCUUCAUUUUUUUUGAAGAGAUAAGAAAAAGUUUAGCAUAUGUGACAAGGGGGUAUGUGUUUAUGAUCGAAUUUGUAUCAACCUGUACUCUAUUAUACUAUGAGAGGGCAUACAUUUAAUCUCUGACACCUGUAAAUUUUCCUCUACUCAAAUAAAAGUAAACAGGUUAAUAUUCCUGUACGUUCAUAAAGAUUUAAGACUGACCUGGUAACAACUUUGAACCCCAAUAUGUAGUAUCUUACCUUCGGAGUGCGUAUUUUGAAUUAUAUUCCUUUAUAAUUAUUGCACAUGAAAAAAAUAUAUAGCUAGGCCUAUGUCUUAAAUGCAAGAGUCGUAUACUUAGAAUGGCUUAGCACAGCGGUCGGCAUAUUAAAAAUUGGGCAUUUAGAGAAGAAUGAAUUUAUACAUAUAUAAUUUAUAAGAUCAUAGAUUUUAUUUUUAUAAUAACUUCUUGUUCUGUAUUUUAUAUAUGAAAUUCAUUCCUAUUUUUUUGUAUCAAUAGUAAUUCUAUUAAAUAUUAGGGAUUACCCGAAUGCUGUAGUUACUAUCAAGAAAAUUGGGGGGAUAUCACUUAUAAGUUUUAAAGAAUAUAAUUUAAGUUUAUAUUCUUUAACUCAUUAUUUGAACAUGCUUGGUUUUUAUAACAGCGUACCUACAUAACCGCUUGAGGUCUCCUGGGUUAACAGCCUCUAGUUUAUAUAGAUUGUAUAAUAGCAAAGGAAGUCGUCCCCUAUACACCCCAAUAUAUAUAUGUAUAUAUGUAUAUAUAUAUAUAUAUAUAUAUAUAUAUAUAUAUGUAUAUAUUUGGGUGUCCUAAAUUUAGGGAAAUAAAUUUAUACUGAGUUAUAUGAUAGGAGUAAAAGUAAAUUAUAGAGAAGAGGCGAAAAAUUAAAGAAAGAACGAGAUUAGAGUUAUUCUUCGGCAUAUUAUGUAAAAUUAUAUAGGUGUGUAUGUGUACGUACGAGACAAAUAAUAGUUUCUACGUAUAUGUAUAUAUAUAUAUAUGUAUAUGUAUGAGACGUUUAUCUGUUGUGUAAUAGUUACGUUUACGUGUACAUGCCUAUACAUUGCUUUAUACGUAUGCUUAAAGGCUUUCUUCUUUUUUUUAAUUAUUUCUUCAAUUUUUAUUUCCCCCCUCUUUUCAAUUAUCAAUAUAUAUAUAUAUAUAUAUAUAUAUAUAUAUAUAUAUAUAUAUAUAUAUUGAUAAUAUAUAUUUACUGUUUAGUUAAUAUACACUCAGUAUGACAUACGGAUAAUGUUUGGGAGUUUAUGUGAUUUUUUGUCAUUGUGAAUGAAAUAAAAGGUCAUAUAAUAUUUAUAUUAUUGACCUUAUCCUAUGUAUGCAAAUAUAUAUAUUAUAUAUAUGUAUGUUCUAUACGUAUAUAUAUGUAUAUAUAUCCUUGUUAUAUUAUAGCACGAUGACACUUCUUUCCACGUUCCUAGUAAGUCGAGUGUUGAAGUGCUUCGAUUGCGUCCAAAGGGAGGGGUAGUUGUAAUGAAGGUUUAUUAUUUAUAUAAUUUUUAUAUUUUUAAUAUUCCUAAUUACAACCACAAUUAAUCUUUGUCACGUAACAGUGAGAGGAUUAAUUUUUUUUUUUUUUAUACAUAUCCCUAUAAGAAUUGUAUAAUUCCCACGACAUAUACCUUACUAUAUUUUAUCUAGCGAAACCACAACCAAGGGAACAGGCUUGGUGAAAUCAGUAGAGAAAGUAGGCUAUUAUGACUGUUGAAUAAUUUAUUAUUUACCCAAAUUUGUAUCUUUGUAAAACUACUUAAGAGGUGUAGUUAUAAGUGGGAGUAAUUGAAAAAAUAUAUAGAAAGAAAAAUGAAGAGGGCAAAAAAAAAAAAAAAAGAAGAAGAACAACAACAACAACAAAUAAGGGAAAGAAAGAAAGAAGGAAAGGGGAAGGAGGGGGAAUAAAAAAAAAAAAGAAAUGAGAAUAAAAUUAGUAUUUAUAUAUUUUUUUUGUUUUCGUUUUUUUUUUUUUUCUUUCUUUUUCUUUUUCUUUUUCUUUUUUUUUUUUUUUUUUUUUUUGUUUGUUUGUUUGUUUGUUUUGUUUUCUUGUUUUUUUUUUUUUUUUGUUUUUUCUUCUUUUUUCUUUAUAUAUAUUUUUUUGAUUUACGUAAUUGAAAUACCACUACUUUUAUGUUACUUUUACUUAUCCAUUGUUAGGAAAAUGUACAAAUAUAUAUAUGUCCAUUCUUAAUGUGUUUCGUAAAAUUUAUUAACAUAUAUAUAUUCCAUAUGUGUUAAUAUUUUUGCGAAGGGCUUUUAGAAUGUUCAAUAUUGAGAUGAAUUUGUUUUAUUAUGCAUAUAUAAUAUAUAUGUAUAAUAUAGACUCUUUUAUCGCACAUAUUCCUAUAUAUAUAUAUAUAUAUAUAUGUGUACAUAUUUAAAUAUAUAUAUAUGUUGUUCAUAUAUUCGUAUGUGUUACAGCUAUAUUAUAUUUAUGUAUGUAUAUUUAUGGAGACAGAGUUUACAGUUUGUGGAGUUUAUUGGAUUAAGUUUUAAGUAUUAAGAAAAACGGAAUUUUUUUAUUUUGCUUUUUUUUUUUAUUUUUAACUUUUAAUCCUUAUUUAUUUAUUUAUUUUAUUUAUUUUUUUUUUUUAUAUUAUUUUAUAAAUAUAUAUAUAUAUAUAUAUAUAUAUAUAUGUGUGUAAUUAGAGGAAGAAUAAAUACAAAUAUUUGGAUAGUUGCAAAAUAUAUAUAUAUAUAUAUAUAUAUAUGUAUUAUAUAUAAUAUGUAUAAAGAAAAAAAAUGAAUAAAAUAAAUAAAUAAAUAUAAAAAUAAAUAUUUUUGGAUAAUAACAACAGGGAUGUAUUAGUUAUAUACUUGUGGCUGCCGAGCGAUAUUUUUAGCAACGUAGCUUUUUGAUAUGAGAAUGUUGGCUCUUCCUAUCAUUGAGAAGAAGAAAUCUCAAAGUGUCGGAUUGUUCAACCGUUAAAAGGGAACGAGAGCUGUAAAAAAAAAAUUUUUCUUUUUUUUUUAAUAACCAUCACGAGAUAGGUUAGUUUUUUACUCUACUGAAGAAUUAUAAUUAUAUUUAUAUAUUAUAUUGUUCCAGUAAUCCAACUAAGUACGAAAGGAAUAGUUUGGUCAGACAGUUAAUUUAGCUUUCGGUUGAAAAACCAAUAUAGCAACUAUUUUAUGUCUGUUGUGAUAAUAGCUGAAAGCAUCUUAAGCUAGAAUCCAUUCUGUAUAUACAAUAUAUGAUUAUUUUUCUUUGUCUUGGUAAUUUUUUUUUUACUGUUAAUGUAAAAAGAGAACACAUAUUAUAUUACAAAAGCAUUUUUAUAAAUGUAUUUAGAAAUAUAAAUAAUCCACUUUAUAUUUAAAUAUGUACAUUAUAUAUAUAUAUAUAUAUGUGUACAUAUUUAUAAUAUUUAUUAAUUUAGCAACAAAGAAAACGAGAGAAAAACUGUAGACGACUUUUUUGCCUCGGAGUGCUGUAACCAUGAUAGUAAACCAUUUUAAGUUUUACGAUCUGCUGAGGCUUAUC